rnacentral:rRNA from 1 species
UAGGGAAUCUUCCGCAAUGGACGCAAGUCUGACGGAGCAACGCCGCGUGAGUGACGAAGGUUUUCGGAUCGUAAAACUCUGUUGUGAGGGAAGAACAAGUACCAAGUAACUACUGGUACCUUGACGGUACCUCACCAGAAAGCCACGGCUAACUACGUGCCAGCAGCCGCGGUAAUACGUAGGUGGCAAGCGUUGUCCGGAAU